GCACUCACGUGGCAAACUUGCUGAUAGGCAAGGACGCAAAGUCACUGGCGUAGGGAAACUAUGGUAGCGGGGCUGCGGCA
rnacentral:ncRNA from 1 species